GUCUGCUCGAGGCUGCUGUGUGACGAGCCCAACUGUGUGUCGUAAAUCCUCAAAGAGGGGCAGUUCAUAGCCAUCAGGCUUUCUCGUCAAAUCACAAAGGUAUCCAACAAAGUAAAGGAAACACUCAAACUAUGCAAUGCUACCAGCCAAGCCACAGCUGCUGCAGUACCACAAUGCUCUAGCACUGGAUCAUCUUGUGUGGUCUACAAUGUCCAGCAGCUUUUUGCUUCCAUCAAGCAGAGUUUCAUGGUUUUGUGGAAUCUUGCUAGAAGAGCAUCUGAAGAGAAGGCGCAGUCAGGUUUUAGAGUCAAGCACAGUACAGAAACACCCUGGUGAAGGUCAAGCACAGUACAGACACGCCC